AUGGAUCUGGCAACGGGCGCCAUGGGCUCCCUGCUCCCCAAGCUGGUCGAGCUCCUCAAGGAUGAGUACAAGCUUAAGGAGAGCGUCAAGGAAGGCGUCAAGUCUCUUGAGAAAGAGAUGAAGAGCAUGCAAGCUGCCCUCCGCAAGGUGGCCGAGGUGCCGCAUGACCAGCUCGAGGAGCAGGUCAAGCUAUGGGCGGGCGAGGUGAGGGAGCUGUCCUUUGACAUGGAGGAUACCGUCGAUAAAUUCCUUGUGCGUGUUGAUGAGGAAUCUGAGUCUUCAACCAAGUCGAAUAAGCUCAAACAACUGAUGAAGAAGAUGGCCGGCCUGUUCACCAAGGGGAAGGCUCGCCAUGAGAUUGCGGAUGCGAUCAAGGACAUCAAUAAGCAAGUCCAAGAGGUCGCUGAUAGGCGUGCAAGGUACAAUGUCGACAAUAUUGUCGCUCGGCCUGAAGUCGUGACACUUGAUCCCCGCCUUCGAGCUCUGUACAUGGAAGUGACGGACCUUGUUGGCAUUUCUGGAAAAAGGGACCAAGAGCUGAUGAAUUUGUUGUCCGGGGGAGACGACAUGUCCAAGACAACGUUGAAAAUUGUCUCCGUUGUUGGAUUUGGAGGAUUGGGCAAGACCACUCUUGUCAAAACGGUUUAUGACAAGAUCAAAGAAGAUUUCCAUUGCAGGGCUUUUGUUUCUGUCGGUAGGAAUGGCACCGCAAAAAAGGUUUUAGUGGACAUCCUUCUUGCUCUUAAAAUCUAUGAAAGUCAUUUCACCAUAUUUAAUGAAACACAACUCAUUGAUGAGGUCCGGGAACGUCUCAAAAACAAGAGGUACCUCAUUGUAAUUGAUGAUAUAUGGGAUGAAAAAUUGUGGACAGUUAUCAAUUGGGCAUUCUCUAAGGGUAACAAUUUUGGUAGUCGGCUAAUCACAACUACUCGUAUAGUCAGUGUAUCUAAAUUAUGUUGCUCGUCUGCUAAUGAUGAAGUUUAUCAAAUGGAACCUCUUAGUGAUGAUGAUUCCAAAAUGCUCUUCCAUAAACGGAUAUUUUCUCAAGAGAGUGGAUGUCCUCGUGAAUUUGAAGAAGUGUCUAGAGAUAUAUUGAAGAAAUGUGGUGGUGUGCCAUUAGCCAUCAUUACGAUAGCUAGUAUUUUGGCUAGUGACAAGAAAAUAAAUUCACUGGAUGAGUGGAAGGUUUUGCUAGAGUCUAUUGGUCGUGGACUUACCAAAGACCACAGUGUAGAGGAGAUGUUGAGAAUACUAUCAUUUAGCUAUUAUGACCUACCUUCCCAUCUGAGAACAUGCUUACUAUAUCUAAGCAUGUUUCCGGAAGAUCAUAAGAUCAUGAAAGCUCAGUUGAUAUGGAUGUGGAUUGCCGAAAGGUUUAUCCAAUGUGAAGAUGCACAAAGUAGUCUAUAUGAGAUCGGACAAAAUUACUUCAAUGAGCUUGUGAAUAGAAGUCUGAUACAGCCGGUAUACAGUAGUGAUGAUGGCCUUGCAAAUGCUUGCCGUGUACAUGAUAGUGUGCUUGAUCUAAUUUGUUCCUUGUCAGUGGAAGAGAAAUUUGUUACUAUAGUGAAUGGUAGUUGUGAUACCAUGUCUUGUCAGGGCAUCAUCCGUAGGUUGUCCAUCCAAAAUGUUAGAAAAGAAGAAGAUCAAACCAGGCCUCUUAGACCUGAGAGUAUAGCACAAGUGAGGUCUAUUGCUACAUUUGCAUCACCUGCGAUAGAUCUACUGCCGUCUUUGUCUAACUUUGCUGUUUUGCGUGUAUUACAUUUGGAUGGAUAUAUUGGUUCUCUAGGGUACCAUCUUAACCCUGGAGAAUUAGGGAGUUUACUUCACUUGAGGUACCUACAUCUAUGUGGAACAGGAUUUGACAAGUUGUUGGAAGAGAUUGGAAAGUUGCAGUUUUUGCAGGUGUUGGAUUUGCCUGAACAUACAAGGCUGCCAUCGACUGUGAUUAAGCUCACAAGGUUGAUGUACCUACGUAUUGGUAGGGGAUCAUGGAACUAUGAUCCUCCAGAUGGGAUUGGAAACCUGACAUCACUGGAAGUGCUGGGCAGGAUCAGUGUUUCCUCGGUAAGCAUUGUAAAAGAGCUAGGCAACAUGGUCAAACUGAGGGAACUUAAAAUUUCGUUUGAUGAUUUGUGGCUGGACUUGGAGGAAGCUUUUGUGGAGUCACUAGGGAAAAUGCCAAAGAUCCAGCGGGUAGAAAUUGUUGCCGGUGAUGAAGAUUCUUCAACUCCUUCAAUGAAUCUUUUGGGGGAACGUUGGGUGCCCCCGGGAUGUCUGCAGGAGUUUGCCAUGUUUGACGAUGCACUAUUCGAUACGCUUCCAACAUGGAUAAGGAGGAAUCCCUCGCAUCUGUCGCAGCUCUUCAAGUUAGACAUCAGUCUCUAUGAAGUGCGACAGGAGGAUCUGGACAACCUUGGAAGGUUACCUGCUCUGGGUGUUCUCGAGUUAAGCUGCUCCUACGCACGAAAACGCAUGCUGCACAUUGGUGGCGAUGGUUUCCGUUGUUUAACAUCAUUCUACUUAUAUUUUGGUGUGGAUGGAAAUAUCGUGUUCCAGCCAGGAGCUAUGCCCAAGGCUGAACAUGUUGAUGUCACUGCACAUUGGGCGGUUGUAAAAGAGGAAGCAUCCGGCAACAACGGUGCUGAUUGGUUUGACCCAGGCAUAGGCAUGGGGAACCUGCCGUCCCUUCGGAAGGUUAAAGUCAGAGUCGACUCUCAUAAAAUGACGGUCGGGGAGGCCAAGCAAGCCAAGGCAGCGCUGGAGAACGCACUCCGUGCCCAUCCUAACCGUCCCCUGUUUUGCGUCGAGUUCAGGUGGUCCAUAAAAGAAGGCGCUCAUGAUGACGACCUCUGCUAG
rnacentral:rRNA from 1 species